CGAACGGGUGAGUAAUGCUUAGGAAUCUGCCUAGUAGUGGGGGAUAACUUGGGGAAACUCAAGCUAAUACCGCAUACGACCUACGGGUGAAAGGGGGCGCAAGCUCUCGCUAUUAGAUGAGCCUAAGUCGGAUUAGCUAGUUGGUGGGGUAAAGGCCUACCAAGGCGACGAUCUGUAGCUGGUCUGAGAGGAUGAUCAGCCACACUGGGACUGAGACACGGCCCAGACUCCUACGGGAGGCAGCAGUGGGGAAUAUUGGACAAUGGGCGAAAGCCUGAUCCAGCCAUGCCGCGUGUGUGAAGAAGGCCUUUUGGUUGUAAAGCACUUUAAGUAGGGAGGAAAAGCUAAUGGUUAAUACCCAUUAGCCCUGACGUUACCUACAGAAUAAGCACCGGCUAACUCUGUGCCAGCAGCCGCGGUAAUACAGAGGGUGCAAGCGUUAAUCGGAAUUACUGGGCGUAAAGCGCGCGUAGGUGGUUACUUAAGUCAGAUGUGAAAGCCCCGGGCUUAACCUGGGAACUGCAUCUGAUACUGGGUAACUAGAGUAGGUGAGAGGGGAGUAGAAUUCCAGGUGUAGCGGUGAAAUGCGUAGAGAUCUGGAGGAAUACCGAUGGCGAAGGCAGCUCCCUGGCAUCAUACUGACACUGAGGUGCGAAAGCGUGGGUAGCAAACAGGAUUAGAUACCCUGGUAGUCCACGCCGUAAACGAUGUCUACCAGUCGUUGGGUCUCUUG
rnacentral:rRNA from 1 species